rnacentral:lncRNA from 1 species
UAAUGUGAACACUGAGGAACUGAGUGGAAACAAAAUGCACAACAGGCAAUUGUUUUAUCAUUUGAAAAUACUGGGGUAUAUUAACAGUAUCAGUAUAUGCUCUUAGUUGCCGUUUCAAGAGCCAGAAAGUUGGUUUUUUUUAUUCUUUUUUGCUUCUUCAGUUAGCUCUAGAAGAUUUUAUGAAUGACUCAAUAAAGGUAAGUAUGCAGUAAUGGUGUAACUUGUAGAAAAACUUAAUUUACUGAUGGAAAUUAUUCCUGCAGAUAAUUGAUACCAGUAAUUUAUUUUUCUGUUUUAUGAUGAGAUUAGCACUUGCAGCCACAGUCUAAGUCCCAAUAAUUUACAAGAGCCAGAGAUUCUGGUGGUCUAUGAUGACAGGCCUUUUAAUGACUUGGGUAGUUUAGAUGUUCAGCAAUAGCUGCUGAAGGGGCCAUAAUGAAUUUUCAGUUUUAUAGCACCCACUGAUAUUAAAUCACAGAAAAUGAUUUUAAGUGUCCUGUAAAGCUUAAAUUAACAUAUUGUAGGCUAUGGGCAGUUUUUAAAAACUGCUCCCACGCUAAGUGUCAUAAACUGCGAUUGCAACUGCUGAUUCCUUAAAAAUAACAACACGAAGAGAGCACAGCAAGUUCCGUCAGAAGGUUCGUCUGAUCUGAGCAUCCUGCCUAUAUGGCGAGAGCCGAGUCUCAGCCCUUGCCACCUGAAAUUGCUGACAGCUGUUAGUGUCAGCACAUGUACCAUGUGCAAAUGCAUUAAUCAUAUUACUGGCUACAUCUGUUCUUGGGAAAGGGACACAUCUUGCUUUGAGGACAGGUACCUGGCUGUAAAAGGCUUGUUUUUCCCCCUAUUGUGAUGCAGAAUGGCAUGUCAGCCCAUUACUAGAGACUGUUGGACUGUGAUAAGAACUAAUUGACUGGCAAUGCCUAAUUUGCAUUGCAUUUUUGAUUCCCCGAAAUCAAUGGAUAACCUGAAAGUCACAAUGUUAUUGAGGUCAGCACAUAACACACAAAUUGUAUGGCUUGAUUUAACUCUCAGAUUACUGGGAUUGUUGUGUGUUCUCUGCUGCUUCGUCUUCUCUUUUUUUAAAAAAAUCCUCUAAUUGUAAUCCUCAUAUAUGUAAGAAUGUAUUAGAAGCAAAAGGAUUCUGUGCUUUAGCUCCAUUUGUGUUUAUAGGGCUAUAGUUUAUAAAUCCUUGUGCUAUACUGUAAUUUUUUUUAGGACAAGAAAAAGUAUUUUUCUGCUUCUGUUGAGAAAUGUAUGAACUAGCUGAUGACCUUUACUACAACUUACAUAUGGUGGUAAAGAGCUCUGCCAACCAUCAGUAUUUAUUUUGUCCAGCAUAUUACAUUUUCAAAGAUAUGUGCCUUUGAGGACCACAAUCAAGAGGUCUUUUUAAAAUAUAGUGUCUGGAGCAAAGCUUGCCACAAGCAAUGAGAUGUUAAUGUCUUAAAUGAUUCAAGCACAUUUUAGGAUUUUUUUAGGCGCUUCUAUUGGCAGUGGAGCCAAGUCCACGGGGGGUGGGGUGGCGGCUGGGGCAAUACCUUCCCAAUGAAAAUGCCAAGCAAAUUUUAAAAAUGUUCCCCUCUUAAUCUCAAAGGCACACAAAUUUAAACUUCUUUUUGAAUUGUCUCCUGUUCCCUGGCCAAUGAUUUCUCUGCACCACUCAGCCAGUCCUAAUCCAAAAGUAUAGCUACAACAAGGAAGUCUCUUCCAUGUGUUUCUAAGCGGAAUAACCAUGUGACUGUUUGGACUGGGUGAAAUCUAGCCCUACAUGGAAUUCUCCUAUCCAUCUCUUGUUAUGAGGGAUGUACAGUGGUACCUCUGGUUGUUCUGUUCUUAACCUGAAACCGUUCUUAACCUGAGGUACCACUUUAGCUAAUGGGGCAUCCCACUGCCACCACACGGUUUCUGUUCUCAUCUUGAGGUAAAGUUCUUAACCCGAGGUACUAUUUCCAGGUUAGCGGAACCUGAAGUGUUUGUAACCUGAGGUGUUUAUAACCCGAGAUACCACUGUAUAGGACAGACACAGUAGCACAGAGAGGAGGAAUAAAAAACAGCCCUUUGUGAAAUGUGAUAUAGGCCUUAGGCUAUAUCAGAAUCAUUCCUCUGUUCUGAGCAAGAGACUUGUUUUCACACACACACACACACACACACACACACACACACACCCUCUGCUAGAGACCUCAUUUAAAACCCCUCCUCUCUGCCAUAGACUCACUGUAUGGUAUAGGUUACAGUACUCUGUUAACUCUUAUCAGUCAAAGCAGAACUAGGUGGGAUUGCAAAUACUCUGGAGGGCAGGUGAAAAAUGUAGCUUGGUUUUAAUAAACAGGAGAGCAAACCAGAGAGCAACAUAAUGCAAUUCAGCAAGGAGAAAGCUAACUGUUACACUGUGGAAGGAAGAGGCAAAUGCACAAGCAGAUGAUGUUGGAUAGCUGGCUGGGCAGCAGCACUUUUUGAGGGGCGGAGGCUGAGGGAUAUAGAAUAACAUUGGAUAACAAAAUAUAUAGACCGAAGGAGCACUUUAGAGAGGUACAAUCAAUAGACUGCUUAUUGGCUUUAGGUGUAGCAUUUCAUCCUUGGCUUAUCAUAUGGCACACAGAACAUUUAAGAAUUUACUAGCUGGUGCUGCAGCAUUUAUCUAAAUGGCACAGUAUUUUCAGGUGGAAAUUUUCUCUUGGAAUAAAUUCUUUUGGGAACAUAUUCAUUAGCAAUGUACCAUAUGUUGCAAGCACACAGGUAUUUCUUUUUCCUGAAAUAGAAUAUUCCUAUUCAAGGAGCUGAUUUUGCAAUUAAUCUAGAUUUUUAACAUCUGUUGCAAAUAAUUUUUUAAGGACUGAACACAUCUCUCUCCCCUGCCUCAUUCAAUAAUUCUUGCUGCAGCAGCCAGCCACUGAAAUGCUUUUACAUCAGUAUACUCCAGCACAACAACAACAGAAUGAAACAUACAGACAAAUGGCCAGUGCAUUCAAAGCAACCCAUCAUACCACCUUUUAAAAUGACCAGAGGGCAAACUUACCACUGAUAUGCUUUCGUGCAGCUGGCCAGCUCAUUUGCAGGCCCUGCAUUAAGUGUUUCAGCUAUUGCCAGUCUACUGGAGUCCCUAAGAUAGUUUGAUGGCGUCUUGUAUGCCUCCUUCCAGCAACUCCUGCAGCCAAGCUGGUGCCAAAUGUUUUGCUCUUCCUUCCUUUGGACCCCAUCAGUGAAGCCAAGAGGGGAGUCUAGUUGUUUGAGCAGCCCAGGACCUCCAUACACACUGCCCAGGCUCGUGCCCCAGAGAGGUCACUUCAGUGCUGCCUGAGCAGCAAAAACAAUGUGUGAGGCAGCAGUUAUAAGUUACCAGGCUCUGCAGCCACAGCUGAUGCUGUAAAGUCUCCAGUGGUUCACCCGUGGAGACACUUCUCUCUUGAGACAGAUGGAUGUCAACAAUUGCCAUUUCAGGAUGGAGAUAGUCUGCCCAUAGUUACCCAUGCUCUAUUAACCUUCUGUUUGGAACACUGCAAUUUGCUCUAAAUGGGGGUGCUCUUGAAGACCGUUCAGAGACAACAACUCAUGCAGAAUGCAGAGUCUUUAAUGGAUCUGAUCUAAUUUAUCACCAGCCCCUCAAGGUUUUGGUUUUGACUUAAAAACUAUAUGCUGCUUAAAGAUAAGAAAGCUGGCAGUGGCAGGAACUGGGUCUAGCCAUGACAGAGCAGAAUGAAGAUAAAGUCUGGGAAUUAGUAUCCCAGGGCUUGACUGAAGUGAGAUAAUCUUUUAAAGCCUCAAUCCCCUCUUCAGGUUGGGUUAAAUAUUACUCUAACGUAGUUGGAGUUCAAUCAGGGCAAUCGCACACAUCGGUAGUGAGUAAAGAUCUGUCAAUUUACCUGAAUGGCAACCAGUCUCUAAUAAUCAAAUAAAACCCCUUACUGUUGGUCAGAAAUCUAAUAAAACUCCUGGUGAAGAUAUGCACCCCCUAAGCCUUUUGAGGAUCUCAUGGAAUGGUAGCUACCCAUCUUGGCCAUCUUAUUCUCCUACAUAAAUAAAACGGGUCAAAUUCUUCCUGGAUGGAAUGAGUAACAUUUCCCCAAUUUUUAAGAAGGGAUUGAAAUGACCCACAAAAUUAUCGCCCAAUUAGCCUACUAGACAUCUCCUCCAAUCUUUAGGCUUGACACCUUCUUCAUAAACUAUGAGAUUGGUUGCACACUAGUAAUAAACUCUGCUAUGAACUUGGAUAAGCAGCAACUAAAGGACUGGCUCUUCUGGAUGGAAUCCAUAAGGGAUCCCCAACUAAAGAGAAAAUCUAUUUUUUCUCCUUGGUACCCACUUUUAAAAACAGAACUUUUUAGAGCAAGUUACUUGACUAAACUCUUUCCAACUUCAUUUAC